UGCUUUUUUGAAUGCUUCCAGGGGCAGUGAUUCCAACACUUCCCUGGGUCUAUGUGUCAGAGAGUAGACUUCAGUACCUCAUCACUCUGGAAGAUGAAGGGGUUUCUGUCCCUACCUGAGGACAGUCCUCUCAGUUUUACGCCUGAUUCUGCUUUCAAACGUAACUAUUCUCCCCAUAUCCUCCCAAGAAAAGGCAUGGAUUUAACACACCUUGAAACCCUCUUGACAAGUAACUGAGCUGUCCUGAGGUUGCUUGACUGCAGAAUGUAAAGGCAGCUUCUCUCACAUGCACUUGCAGCUGGAAGAAUUUCUCCCACUUUUAAGACCUCUACAGCUGUGCACAAACAAGGAAAUCUUUAUAAGAGGAGUGGACACAGUCAUAAACUUGAACAAAUACAGCAGCAGUCUCUAUACGCAAAUAAAACCCCCUAUCCUCUCCUAUUAAGUCCAACACUAAUUUACUGAAGCAUUUUCCCAUCAAGCUGAAGUAUUUUCUACAUCAUUUCACCCUGAUGACAAACCCCACUCACCAUUCAGACAGCAAGUUUGGAUUUUGGGGAAACUUUAUAGAGAAAAGAAGCACUUCCCUGGAAUACAGUCAUAUCUUCUGCCUCUAUCAGCCUACAAAGUCUUCAGAAAACACAGAUUCUUAUAACAUAGCCCUUUUUCCAUGCAAAAUGAUGCCUUUGGGACCAAUGUCUCUUCUUGUACAACUUCUCUGUGGAAUAUCUCAUAACUUUUAGGAGCAAUUGAUUUUUGUUACACAGCCAAGAAACAUUCAUGCUUUCCUCAAAACCUCUUGAGAAUCAGUUCCCCAGCAGAAAUGUGUGUCCUUAUAUAACUACAUCGAGUUACCAAGUGUCUCUAAACUAAUUGUGUGUCACAAAGUACAAAUAUUCUUGUGUGAUGAUAAAAGACCAUAUGGAAUUGUCUACUCCUUUUCUGCAGGAGUGUGUGUAUGUGUGUAUGCAAGAUGACAUGAGCUUACCCUAAGGCAUGGGGGGAAGUAAUUACGUAAAAUAUUCCAAAUGCCAGGUCUAAUUAUUUGUAGUACAAUAACAACAUUACGAAGAGAAAGGAAAAAGAAAUAGGAUUAAGAAGUUCAAAGCAAACCAAAAAAUCUUGCAUUUCUGAAAAUGUAUAAACCAGACUUUUCUGUCAGGGCGCAAUCAUGCUCUCUGCACCUAGACAAGACGACUAUUGUAUCCAGGGCUGUAGUCCAUGGAAAUACGUCUGGGCUUCACAUCUCAGCUGAGAAACUGAAGAGGACUAUUGGGAAACUCACAACUUUAGUGCAGAAAAUUCAGGAUGGGUCAUAGUCUGAAGAAGGUUUUUAAAGCUAUUUUGUUUCUUUGAAAGAAAAUCGGGGAAGAAAGACAAUAAGAUAGGAGGAGGAAAAGUUUGAGCACAGGAUUGGGAACAAAACACUUCUCCUUUGAAGCCAUGAUAUCUAUCUUCAAUAGCUCGGCACAAGUCAGUAGGUCAUUCUACCUUGCCUGUCUGCCUCAGUGCAGGAGGGAGCAGAACACUGUGGAGCAUUGGGACAAUCUAAAAUACCAAGGAAGCUUGUCCGUGGAAGAGUACACGUGACUCCAACAUGGUCAGUGGAACAUCACAGAAUACUGCAGGCCUACAGCCUAGUGUGAGAGGCCCUAAAAUGUUGUUCUGCUUGGGUAUGGGGAUGUACAUGUAAAAUUUUUGGUAAACCUGCACUGCAUUACCUAUUUAGGUGGAGGAAAAUAGUAACACGCCUCCCCAAAGAAACAGCUCACAGAAAUUGGGACCUGAUCCUUAAUCUAAUAAAGUAAAAAAUAUUCCUGCUGUUUCAUUUUUGCAGGUACUUGGUAUUAUUUUUGUUACUGUCCAAUUGUUAUUAAUUCUUUUACAAUCUUUCUACUCUCUUACCCUGGUUCAUUUGUCAAUACUUUACAUGUAACGCUCCUAGUAACAUAGCACAAUAAAAAUCAAAAUAUA